GCUCCGGUGGCCAAGUUGUAGAGCGUCCGCCUCAUAUGCGUGAGGUCGCGGGUUCGAACCCCGUCCGAGUCA